UACGAAGGGGGCUAGCGUUGUUCGGAAUUACUGGGCGUAAAGGGCGCGUAGGCGGGCCAUCAAGUCGAGGGUGAAAGCCCCCAGCUCAACUGGGGAAGUGCCUCCGAUACUGGUGGUCUCGAGGGAGAUAGGGGCGUGCGGAACUUCCGGUGGAGCGGUGAAAUGCGUAGAUAUCGGAAGGAACACCGGUGGCGAAAGCGGCGCGCUGGAUCUCUUCUGACGCUGAGGCGCGAAAGCCAGGGGAGCGAACGGG
rnacentral:rRNA from 1 species